rnacentral:lncRNA from 1 species
GACUCAUACUGCUGACUGAGUGGCAGCCUCUCUGGUGAAGCUUCCUGAGGGAUCUUUGGUCACAGUUCCUGUUUCAUACUGGCAGUCCAGCAAGGUUCGAUGUUUCCUAGAGGGACAGAUGCUGACCUGCUGCCAUUGUGUCUUAACCACAACUAGCAGAGCUGGUGAACCCUAGCUCUGCUAUUCGAGAAAGUUCCUUCACAGUGCAAAAUGCCACAUGUGUUAUGUUUGACAGGAAAGCUAUUAGAAUAAAGGUCAUUAUCUGU